UACGUAGGGUGCAAGCGUUGUCCGGAAUUAUUGGGCGUAAAGAGCUCGUAGGCGGUCUGUCGCGUCGGCUGUGAAAUCCCGAGGCUCAACCUCGGGUCUGCAGUCGAUACGGGCAAACUAGAGUAUUGCAGGGGAGACUGGAAUUCCUGGUGUAGCGGUGAAAUGCGCAGAUAUCAGGAGGAACACCGGUGGCGAAGGCGGGUCUCUGGGCAAUAACUGACGCUGAGAAGCGAAAGCGUGGGGAGCGAACAGGAUAG
rnacentral:rRNA from 1 species